GUGCUCAUUUUGGCAGCACAUACACCAAAAGUGGAUCAAUACAAAGAAGAUUAGCAAGCCCCCCUGCGCAAGGAUGACAAGCAAAUCUGUGACGCAUUCCAUUAAAAA
rnacentral:snRNA from 1 species